GACGAACGCUGGCGGCAUGCCUAAUACAUGCAAGUCGAACGCUGAAGCACUCUGCUUGCAGAGUGCGGAUGAGUGGCGAACGGGUGAGUAACACGUGGGAAAUCUGCCUAUAAGAGGGGGAUAACAUUCGGAAACGGAUGCUAAUACCGCAUAUAUUCUUGGACCGCCUGGUCCUUGAAAGAAAGACGGCUUUGCUGUCGCUUAUAGAUGAUCCCGCGGCGUAUUAGUUAGUUGGUGGGGUAAAGGCCUACCAAGACAAUGAUACGUAGCCGACCUGAGAGGGUGAUCGGCCACUGGGACUGAGACACGGCCCAGACUCCUACGGGAGGCAGCAGUAGGGAAUCUUCCACAAUGGGCGAAAGCCUGAUGGAGCAAUGCCGCGUGAAUGAAGAAGGUCUUCGGAUCGUAAAGUUCUGUUAUUAGAGAAGAACAAGUCAAGGAGUAACUGUCUUGACUUUGACGGUACCUAACCAGAAAGUCACGGCUAACUACGUG
rnacentral:rRNA from 1 species